rnacentral:rRNA from 1 species
UACGUAGGGUGCGAGCGUUGUCCGGAAUUAUUGGGCGUAAAGAGCUCGUAGGCGGUCUGUCGCGUCGGUCGUGAAACCUUGGGGCUUAACCCUGAGCUUGCGGUCGAUACGGGCAUGACUGGAGUUCGGUAGGGGAGACUGGAAUUCCCGGUGUAGCGGUGAAAUGCGCAGAUAUCGGGAGGAACACCUAUGGCGAAGGCAGCUCGCUGGGACGUUACUGACGCUGAGACGCGAAAGCGUGGGGAGCAAACAGG